rnacentral:rRNA from 1 species
UGGGGAAUUUUGCGCAAUGGACGAAAGUCUGACGCAGCGACGCCGCGUGGAGGACGAAGGCUCUCGGGUUGUAAACUCCUUUUGUGCGGGAAUAAUUUUUGAAGGUACCGCACGAAUAAGCACCGGCUAACUCCGUGCCAGCAGCCGCGGUAAUACGGGGGGUGCAAACGUUGUCCGGAAUCACUGGGCGUAAAGAGCAUGUAGGUGGAUUGGUAAGUGAGCGAUUAAAGACUGACGCUUAACGUCGGGACUGUUGUUCAUACUGCCAGUCUUGAGGAAGACAGGGGCAAGCGGAACUAUCGGUGUAGGGGUGAAAUCCGUAGAUAUCGAUAGGAACACCAAUGGCGAAGGCAGCUUGCUGGGUUUUUUCUGACACUGAGAUGCGAAAGCGUGGGGAGCGAUCGGG